rnacentral:rRNA from 1 species
UACGGGGGGGGGCAAGCGUUGUUCGGAAUUACUGGGCGUAAAGGGCUCGUAGGCGGCCAACUAAGUCCGACGUGAAAUCCCCAGGCUUAACCUGGGAACUGCGUCGGAUACUGGAUGGCUUGAAUCCGGGAGAGGGAUGCGGAAUUCCAGGUGUAGCGGUGAAAUGCGUAGAUAUCAGGAGGAACACCGGUGGCGAAGGCGGGUCUCUGGGCCGAUACUGACGCUGAGGAGCGAAAGCGUGGGGAGCGAACAGG